GACGAACGCUGGCGGCGUGCUUAACACAUGCAAGUCGAACGGAAAGGCCCUGCUUUUGUGGGGUGCUCGAGUGGCGAACGGGUGAGUAACACGUGAGUAACCUGCCCUUGACUUUGGGAUAACUUCAGGAAACUGGGGCUAAUACCGGAUAGGAGCUCCUGCUGCAUGGUGGGGGUUGGAAAGUUUCGGCGGUUGGGGAUGGACUCGCGGCUUAUCAGCUUGUUGGUGGGGUAGUGGCUUACCAAGGCUUUGACGGGUAGCCGGCCUGAGAGGGUGACCGGCCACAUGGGGACUGAGAGACGGCCCAGACUCCUACGGGAGGCAGCAGUGGGGAAUAUUGCACAAUGGGCGGAAGCCGGAUGCAGCAACGCCGCGUGCGGGAUGACGGCCUUCGGGUUGUAAACCGCUUUCGCCUGUGACGAAGCGUGAGUGACGGUAAUGGGUAAAGAAGCACCGGCUAACUACGUG
rnacentral:rRNA from 1 species